rnacentral:rRNA from 1 species
CAACGGAUAUCUCGGCUCUCGCCACGAUGAAGAAUGUAGCGAAAUGCGAUACUUAGUGUGAAUUGCAGAAUCCCGUGAAUCAUCGAGUCUUUGAACGCAAGUUGCGCCCGAGGCCUCGGCCAAGGGCACGUCUGCUUGGGCGUCGCACUCCAAAAUCGCUCUCCCACGGGGAGGUGCGCAGAUGGCCGUCCGUGCCCUCCAGCGAUGCGGUCGGCUGAAAUGAGCGUGAGGACCAUCGACACGCAGC